rnacentral:SRP_RNA from 1 species
ACCAAGCAUAGUGGUAUGUGCCUGUAGUCCUUGCUACUCAGGAGGCUGAGGCUGGAAGAUCACUUGAGUCCAGGAGUUCUGAGCUGUAGUGUGCUAUGCUAACCAAGUGUCCACACUAAGUUUAACAUCAAUAUAGUGACCUUCCAGGAGUAUGGACCACCAGGUUGCCUAAAGAGGGGUGAACCAACCUAGAUAAAAAGCAAUGCAGGUCAAAACUCCCAUGCUGAUCAGUGGGAUUGUGUCUAUGACUAGCCACUGCACUACAGCCUAGGCAAUAUAGCAAGACCCCCAUCUCA